GAAUUACAUUAUUAAAAAUUUAUAAUAUAUUAUAUUAAUACAAAAUUAUAAAAAUCAAUUUAAUUUUGUAACAUCUAACAUUAUUUAAAAUAUAAAGAAUAAUUAACUAAAUAACUAACUAAUAAUUCAAGUGCCAGCAGUUGCGGUUAUUCUUUUAGUUAAAUUAUAUUUAUAUUAACAUAAUUAAAAUUAAUAAAAAAUCAAUUACUAAAAAGUAAAAUUCUAAUUAUAUAAAAUUUAUUUAAAUAAAAGUUAUAAUUUUUAAACUUAAAAUAGGAUUAGAAACCCUAGUAUAUUAAAAUAAAUAUAGUAAUAAUAAUUUAUAAUAAAACUUAUUUACAACGGCGGCAUUUUAUUUUUCUAGAGGAACUUGUUUAUUAAUCGACAACCCCCGAUAAAUUUUACUUUAAAACAAAGUUUAUAUACCGCCAUCAAAAGAACUAAUUAAUAAUAUUAUUCUAAAUAAAUUAUAAAAUGUUAGGUCAAGGUGUAAUUAAUGUUAAAGAAUAAAUGAGUUACAUUAAAAUUUAAUUAAAGAACAUUAUUCUUUAAUAUUUUUAAGAAAUAGGAUUUAGAAGUAAAUUUUUAAUAAUAUUUAAAUUUGAAUAAAAUAAUAAAUGUGCACAUAUCGCCCGUCACCCUUAUCAUAAGAUAAGGUAAGUCGUAACACAGUUGGUAUUUUGGAAAAAGUAUCAAG
rnacentral:ncRNA from 1 species